AAUGAACGUUGGCGGCAUGGAUUAGGCAUGCAAGUCGAGCGAGAAGUGUAGCAAUACACGGAAAGCGGCGGAAGGGAGAGUAAUACGUGGGAAUCUGCCCUUAGACCUGGGAUAGCAGCGGGAAACUGCUGGUAAUACCAGAUAAUGUCUAUGGACCAAAGGUGUGAUUCCGUCGAGGGAUGAGCCCACGUCCUAUUAGCUAGUUGGUAGGGUAAUGGCCUACCAAGGCGAUGAUGGGUAGCGGGUGUGAGAGCAUGACCCGCCUCACUGGGACUGAGACACUGCCCAGACACCUACGGGUGGCUGCAGUCGAGAAUCUUCGGCAAUGGGCGAAAGCCUGACCGAGCGACGCCGCGUGAGGGAAGAAGGCCUUCGGGUUGUAAACCUCUUUCGUAGAGGAGGAAGGGGCCGUGCAGAGCGGUCUUUGACCUAUUCUAGGAAGAAGCUUGGGCUAAGUUCGUGCCAGCAGCCGCCGUAAAAC
rnacentral:rRNA from 1 species